GGCUGGGUGGCCGAGCGGUCUAAGGCGGUAGACUCAAGAAUCAUUUCUUUCCUGCGAAAUGCGGGGUGAUUUCUACUCUCGAAAGAGGCAUGCGGGGUGAUUUCUACUCUCGAAAGAGGCGCGCGUUCGAAUCGCGCCCCAGUCA